ACAGCUAUAUCACAUUGAAACCCCAGUUCCCAUAUGAUCACCAAAGUUAAGCCACAUUGAGCCUAGUCAGUGCCUAGAUGGGUGACCACUUGGGAAUACCAGGUGCUGUA